rnacentral:tRNA from 1 species
AGGGCAGUAGCUCAAUUGGCAGAGCAUCGGUCUCCAAAACCGAAGGUUGGGGGUUCAAUUCCCUCCUGCCCUG